GGAGCCUGGGUCAGGGCUGUAGCUAGACGCUGGAUAAAAGGCCAGGAAGAGGCCUAGAGAAUCCUGAGGAUGGAACCUGAGCUGGCCUGUCUGAAGGAAGCCUAAGGAGAGCUGAUAAAGUUACCCCUGGGAACUGGCAUAACUGCUAUUUAGAAAUGGGAAAACUAAUUCUGCGAACUUAUGCAUAUGCAUUACUCAUAGCUGCUAAGCAUGAACAGCCCUUUUUGACUUCACCAGAAGUUGUGGAUGCAUAGCACCUCUUAAAACUGGGCCAGAAGAAUCUCUCUGAAUCUCUCUGAAGGCCAAAAAAACCCAAC